rnacentral:rRNA from 1 species
UACGUAGGGUGCGAGCGUUAAUCGGAAUUACUGGGCGUAAAGCGUGCGCAGGCGGUUUUGUAAGCCAGAUGUGAAAGCCCCGGGCUCAACCUGGGAAUGGCAUUUGGGACUGCAAGGCUGGAGUUUGGCAGAGGAGACUGGAAUUCCCGGUGUAGCAGUGAAAUGCGUAGAUAUCGGGAGGAACACCAGUGGCGAAGGCGGCAUCCUGGACCGACACUGACGCUGAGGCGCGAAAGCUAGGGGAGCAAACGGG